AGGUAUUUGGGUCAGACACUUGGUGAUUAUUAACAUGAUAAAGAUCAUAUCUUGACUGGGGCCCUGAGACACCACUGGAGGGUUCAUUAAAGGUGUAUAACAGCAGCCCUCUGAAAGCCGUGCCAGUCAAGCCAUCACUGGGGAGAAGAAUUCAGAAAAACAGCCAUGGACACAGCUUGAACUCUUAAUGUCCUCUGAAGUUCUGUGAGUGGACACCAGUGAAAUAUUGGCAUGAGAGGAACAACCCAACCUGGUGCCCGCUGACCCAGCAGUGCCAUUGCUCAGGAACUCCUUCACCCAUGCCGCAGAAUGUCACCCUGAGAGAGACACACAACUGCACUUCUCAAUGUCUGUGUGCGCACAUGAGGCUAGGGUGGAGCAGACUGUCACUCAGCUGUGUUUAAUUAACAUAGUAUUUUAUGUAAUGUAUUUAUUUUUUACGUAAUUAGGUGAUUAAGCAAAAUGCUUGCUAGUAACAUCUCUUCCAUAACCCAGCGCUGCUGAGAGUUAAACAUGCACCUUUGCAGGUAAUUAAUCUCCUUGCCCUGCUUAUUUUGCUAGUUGGCACUUGCUAAAUCCCUGUAAAACCACACCCAGCAGUGCUGUGUAUUAUCCCUCUGCUGUCUAUUCCUACAUAUGGGCAAAAUCAACUUACCUUCCGGGUUGCUGACAUCAGCAAAAUGUACUCUUGGCAAACUUGGGAAUCCUCCUAGUAACCCUUUGUUUGGUUGGUGUUGUUACAGUUGUAUUCCUCUGACAGCAGCAAACACCCUCCAAACGGUACCUACCUUGACAGUGCUUGGGACGUGGAAGGACUCUACCAAAUUAGCAUAUUUUAAACAUUGAAACAACCCCUUGUGUGAUAAAAUGUGUAUAGAUGGGGGCAAAAAGUUAGAGGAAGAUACUCUCUGCUUCCUGUAAGGAACUGACCCACAGUAGUUGCAAGUUUCAGAGUAUAAUUUUGAUAACAGUAAAGGUGUAUAUAUAAAUAUAUAUAUGGA